CACAGGUUGCUGGUGCAACUCCAUGAAAGUAAUGCUGAAUGCCAGGAGCUGGGACAACGAAGCUGAUGCAUAAUUGGCUGCCAAGAAGUCAAGGGAAUUGCAAAUGAAAGUCUUUUAGCUUCCAGUGGAAUUCAUUCAUCAAAUUGCACAGUCUCCUAGAUAAAGCAUUCCUCCGAA